rnacentral:rRNA from 1 species
GAUGAACGCUGGCGGCGUGCCUAAUACAUGCAAGUCGAGCGAACGGACGAGAAGCUUGCUUCUCUGAUGUUAGCGGCGGACGGGUGAGUAACACGUGGAUAACCUACCUAUAAGACUGGGAUAACUUCGGGAAACCGGAGCUAAUACCGGAUAAUAUUUUGAACCGCAUGGUUCAAAAGUGAAAGACGGUCUUGCUGUCACUUAUAGAUGGAUCCGCGCUGCAUUAGCUAGUUGGUAAGGUAACGGCUUACCAAGGCAACGAUGCAUAGCCGACCUGAGAGGGUGAUCGGCCACACUGGAACUGAGACACGGUCCAGACUCCUACGGGAGGCAGCAGUAGGGAAUCUUCCGCAAUGGGCGAAAGCCUGACGUAGCAACGCCGCGUGAGUGAUGAAGGUCUUCGGAUCGUAAAACUCUGUUAUUCGGGAAGAACAUAUGUGUAAGUAACUGUGCACAUCUUGACGGUACCUAAUCAGAAAGCCACGGCUAACUACGUG